CCGGAUGAUUUCUGCUGAAGUAUGAUGUCUAAUAAGAUGAUAGACUUCCCUCAGUCCAUUUGGGGAAAAUAACCUUCAUUCAACUGUCAAAAAACUGAAGAUAGGAGAAUGAUAGCUGGGCAAGAGGCUGUUUCAGCAAUCUUGAGAAAUAAUUCUCGCUGUAGUGUAGUUACAGCUGAAACCCAGCGUCUUGGGACAAUUCCUCUUUUCACUGACCAGUGCUGAAUGUGUAAGCAACUGAUGAUGGCUUAAUUGGCUUGUUAAAGAGAAAAUUUUAAUGGAAUGGAACAAAGUUGGAAAUGAUUCAAAAGUAAAUAUAGCACUAAAAGGGAGGGGGUAAGACAAUUACUUCUGUGCUCGGUCUUUACCUAGCACCUUCAGACAAAUACAUUACGACAUUCUGCUAUGUGCAUUCCUAUUUAACAAGCAAAGUCCCAAAGAAAUGUCAAUGAUAUCCAUCUCAAAAUAGAUAUUUGCUAUCUAGGUGUUAUCUUGGUUCAGAGAAACAUUGCUACUGUUCAAGUCUAAGCGGCUCUCGGCAAGCAAAAAAAGAAUAGGUCUUACAAUUCCACAUUACUGUGAGUUGCUCAAAAUGAGAGGAGAUUUGCUGUUCACUGCAGAGCAAGGUCGGAUUAUAGGAAGAAAACAACUAGCUGGUUUUCAACGUCAGCUGCAGCUUCUGGUCAGGAAAUCCUGCAGCAUAUGCUUGUGUGUUUGUCCUUAUCAUUUCUACUGGAAAUUUUUUUCCACCAGAAAAUGGACCUUAUUCAAAC
rnacentral:lncRNA from 1 species